UGCUGCACAAGUGGCUGUAGGACUUUCUUCAGCAAAGAUGGCGGACAGAAAUACUCAGAGGGGUACCCCUACACAGACCUGAAAUGGAUCAAAGAUGGCGGACAGAAAUACUAGGAUGGAAGCAAAUAGCAGCAGACUCCUCCUCUGGGACACGGCGGCGAGCUGCAGAUCCCCUCCUGGUCCUCGUGUCCAUCCUCAUGACGUUACGCAGGACACAGGUAGCCUUCACACACCUGAAUUCCUCCAGGAAGCAGUACCAGAUGACCCUGGUCACCCAACCUUGCAGUGCCCUACACGGUAACUGUCGGCAACCGUUUUGAAGGAACCUCCAGUUUGCUUAUUUAUAUUCAGUGGCCUGACUGCAUCCAGACUGUCAAAGGUCCGUCCUGGUAGAUCUGAACCUAAUGCAGUUUGGAGUGAUCAGAUGACAGGAGUCACAUUUAGGUGCCAGGUGUAACUGUAGAUUCUGUAUGCUGAGGCUGUAGAUGCUCCAUUUCCACUACUUUGAGUGUUGUAUGUACAUUAAAUCCAAUUUUAUUUGUCACAUACACAUGGUUAGCAGAUGUUAAUGCAAGUGUAGUGAGUUUUAGGAUUCUAUUGAAAGAAAAAUGAUUUUUUUUUUAAAUAAUACGAUUGUAUAUUAUUAUUUUGAAAUACGUGUUUUUUCUUGUUUUUAAUUGUUGACAGCCAGUAGACACCAAGUUUUUUUUGUUAAGUAAUACUCUUUCAAUUCAGAGCCUGGAUUUUCCCCUGAGGCUAAUAUCCAUAUCAUGCUGCAAUCAAUUGAACAAGGCAAACGAUAAGGUAGAACAUCAUUAAAAUACUCCUACUACAAUGUUAAAACAUUCUACAUUGCGACAUUAUUUCAUUGAUAUCCUGAAACAACUUCUUCAUGUAUGUAUUUUCUGAUGUUUGAUCAGAGGUCUUUUAUCAGAGUAUCUCUUGUCACAUUGAUCACAGCUAAAAGGUUUAUCUCCUGUGUGUUGUCUCUGGUGUACUGUCAGACCGCUAGAUGUCGUAAAACUCUGCCCACAUUGAUCACAGCUAUAAGAUUUCUCUCCUGUGUGUGUUCUCUGGUGUCCUGUCAGAUGGCAAGAUGUAGGAAAACUCCUCUCACAUUCAUCACAGCUAUAAGGUUUCUCUCCUGUGUGUUUUCUCUGGUGUACUGUCAGACCGCUAGAUGUAGUAAAACUCCUCCCACAUUUAUCACAGCUAAAAGGUUUCUCUCCUGUGUGUGUUCUCUGGUGUACUGUCAGAUAGCAAGAUGCAGGAAAACUCCUCCCACAUUGACCACAGCUGUAAAGUUUCUCUCCUGUGUGUUUUCUCUGGUGUAUUUUAAGUUCUGAUGAAGAUGAUCAACCUCCUCCUUCACAUCUGACUCCUGAUGAUCAACCUCCUCCUUCACAUCUGACUCCAGUGAUCAAUCCAGAGAGUCUUCUUUCUUGGGGUUAAAAUGAGUGGAAGGAGAUAAAUAAAAUGGUGCUGAUGCGGGAGAUGGGGGUAUGUUCUAGUGGGUCUGGGCAGGUGUGAUGGAGUUAAUGGAGAUGGGGGUGUGGUCUAGUGGGUCUGGGCAGGUGUGAUGUAGAUAAUGGAGAUGGGGGUGUGUUCUAGUGGGUCUGGGUAGGUUUGAUGUAGUUAAUGGAGAUGGGGGUGUGGUCUAGUGGGUCUGGGCAGGUGUGAUGUAGUUAAUGGAGAUGGGGGUGUGUUCUAGUGGGACUGGGCAGGUGUGAUGUAGUUAAUGGAGAUGGAGGUGUGUUCUAGUGGGUCUGGGCAAGUGUGAUGUAGUUCAUGGGGAUGGAGGUGUGUUCUAGUGGGUCUGAGCAGGUGUGGUGUAGUUAAUGGAGAUGGGGCUGUGUUUGAGUGGAUCUGGGCAGGUGUGAUGUAGUUAAUGGAGAUGGGGGUGUGGUCUAGUGGGUCUGAGCAGGUGUGAUGUAGUUAAUGGGGAUGGAGGUGUGUUCUAGUGGGUCUGAGCAGGUGUGGUGUAGUUAAUGGAGAUGGGGCUGUGUUUGAGUGGGUCUGGGCAGGUGUGAUGUAGUUAAUGGAGAUGGGGGUGUGUUCUCGUGGGUCUGGGCAGGUGUGAUGUAGUUAAUGGAGAUGGAGGUGUGUUCUCGUGGUUCUGUGCAGGUGUGAUGUAGUUAAUGGAGAUGGGGGUGUGUUCUCGUGGGUCUGGGCAAGUGUGAUGUAGUUCAU